GAGCGCACGCGGACCGGCAAGUUGGAAGUGAAAUCUAUGGGCUCAACCCAUAAAUUGCUUUCAAAACUGCUGGCCUUGAGUAGUGCAGAGGUAGGUGGAAUUCCCGGUGUAGCGGUGGAAUGCGUAGAUAUCGGGAGGAACACCAGUGGCGAAAGCGACCUACUGGGCACCAACUGACGCUGAAGCUCGAAAGCAUGGGUAGCAAACAGGAUUAGAUACCCUGUUAGUCCAUGCCGUAAACGAUGAUUACUAGGUUUUGGAGGAUUGACCCCUUCAGUGCCGCAGUUAACACAAUAAGUAAUCCACCUGGGGAGUACGACCGCAAGUUUGAAACUCAAAGGAAUUGACGGGGGCCCGCACACGCAGUGGAGUAUGUGGUUUAAUUCGAAGCAACGCGAAGAACCUUACCAGGUCUUGACAUCCGAUGCAUAGUGCAGAGAUGCAUGAAGUCCUUCGGGACAUCGAGACAGGUUGGUGCAUGUUUUUCGUCAGCUCGUGUCGUGAGAUGUUGGGUUAAGUCCCGCAACGAGCGCAACCCUUAUUGCCAGUUACUACGCAAGAGGACUCUGGCGAGACUGCCGUUGACAAAACGGAGGAAGGUGGGGAUGAGGUCAAAUCAUCAUGCCCUUUAUGACUUGGGAUACACACGUACUACAAUGGCGUUUAACAAAGAGAAGCAAGACCGCGAGGUGGAGCAAAACUCAAAAACAACGUCUCAGUUCAGAUUGCAGGCUGCAACUCGCCUGCAUGAAGUCGGAAUUGCUA
rnacentral:rRNA from 1 species